GGUUCCAUAGCUCAGUGGUAGAGCAUUUGACUGCAGAUCAAAAGGUCUCCGGAUCGAACUCGGAUGGGCCUU
rnacentral:tRNA from 1 species